rnacentral:misc_RNA from 1 species
AAAGGAGAAGAAAAUCUCUCCCCCGCCAUUUACGCAUUCUGCCAUUUCCUCCAUUAAAAUCCAAAAUAAGCAGCUUUCCCAUUUAGAUCCGGCAUAGUUGAACAACCAAACAGACUUCUUCUUCUUCUUCACACACCAUAGAUGAAAACCAAAACGAAGCCCUCCAAGAGAAAGCUAGGGUUACCUGCUGUCCUCCUCCUAUGCUUUUUCUUCUUCCUCGCCGGAUUCUACGCUUCCACUCUUCUCUCUCAGGAUGUGCCUAUUAUUAGACCGAGGUUGAGAAUGCUUCAAGUGGCUGAGGGAGACCUUGACUUGAUGCCGCAUGGCGUGACUGGAGAAUCUUUUGUUGAAUCCAUUCCAUUUCAGGUUUUGAGCUGGAAACCAAGAGCUGUUUAUUUUCCAAACUUUGCAACUCCAGAGCAAUGCAACAGUAUAAUUGAAAUGGCAAAGUCUCGCCUAAAACCAUCUUCCCUGGCUCUGCGGAAAGGAGAAACAGAUGAGAGUACUCAGGGGACCAGAACAAGCUCAGGUACAUUUAUUAGUGCAUCAGAAGAUAAAACUGGGGUCCUGGACUUCAUUGAGCAGAAAAUUGCAAGAGCUACAAUGAUCCCAAGGUCGCAUGGAGAGGCAUUCAAUGUCUUGCGCUACGAAAUUGGACAGAAAUAUGAUUCACAUUAUGAUUCAUUUAACCCAGCUGAAUAUGGUCCGCAGACAAGCCAAAGGGUUGCUUCUUUCUUGUUGUAUUUAUCUGAUGUAGAAGAAGGUGGAGAAACCAUGUUCCCUUUUGAGAAUGGCUUACAAAUAGGUUCAGUCUAUGAUUACAAAAAAUGUGUUGGUUUAA